rnacentral:rRNA from 1 species
AGUGAACGCUGGCGGUAGGCCUAACACAUGCAAGUCGAACGGCCGCACAGUAAGCGCUUGCUCUUACGGGUGGCGAGUGGCGGACGGGUGAGGCAUACAUCGGAAUCUACUUUUUCGUGGGGGAUAACGUAGGGAAACUUACGCUAAUACCGCAUACGACCUACGGGUGAAAGCAGGGGAUCUUCGGACCUUGCGCGAUUGAAUGAGCCGAUGUCGGAUUAGCUAGUUGGCGGGGUAAAGGCCCACCAAGGCGACGAUCCGUAGCUGGUCUGAGAGGAUGAUCAGCCACACUGGAACUGAGACACGGUCCAGACUCCUACGGGAGGCAGCAGUGGGGAAUAUUGCACAAUGGGCGCAAGCCUGAUCCAGCCAUACCGCGUGGGUGAAGAAGGCCUUCGGGUUGUAAAGCCCUUUUGUUGGGAAAGAAAAGCAGCAGGUUAAUACCCCGCUGUUCUGACGGUACCCAAAGAAUAAGCACCGGCUAACUUCGUG